UACGUAGGGAGCAAGCGUUGUCCGGAAUCAUUGGGCGUAAAGAGCGUGUAGGCGGUUCGGUAAGUCGGCUGUGAAAGUCCAGGGCUCAACCCUGGGAUGCCGGUCGAUACUGCCGGACUAGAGUUCGGAAGAGGCGAGUGGAAUUCCCGGUGUAGCGGUGAAAUGCGCAGAUAUCGGGAGGAACACCUAUGGCGAAGGCAGCUCGCUGGGACGUUACUGACGCUGAGACGCGAAAGCGUGGGGAGCAAACAGG
rnacentral:rRNA from 1 species